CAUAGGCUUUAAAUGGGCGAAAUGAUUACACCUAAACUAUUUGUUCCUCUUUAGAUUUUUUAGUCAUCAGCUUGAACUUGCUUUGGUUUUGCAUUAGUUUGAAAUAAUAUGGUUGGAUUUAUCUGUUGUUUACAAGGUCUUUUGUAAACCAAAUCACUGGACCUCUUAAAAAAAAUUACAAAAAGCUUGCUGCAACCUGUAAUCAUAGAAGAAUUCCUAUUAUAACGGAGUAGGAUUAAUAAUGCAUGUAAUUAUAAUAUACAAUUUUCUUUAGGCUUUUCUAAUUAUAAAAAAAUUACAGAUAACAUCAACAGUGUGAUUCUGAAAUGCCUCUCAUUUAUUAUGUAGCUCUCUUAAUCAAUGCUCUGCCAGUGGAAAUCAAGUCAGAACGUUAUUAUGGUCUGUCCUUCUGGAUUUAAUUACAGCAGUAACUCAUGGCUCAAAGUCUGAGAAAACAUACCAUGCAGUUUAUAGCUUUGAAGAACAGCUAUUAAUCCUGCCAUCUACCUCCCAGUGCAAGCCUGUGAAAGCAUUUUUUAAAUCUUUAUGCUUGAAGAUAAACACACGCUUAUACACGGUCUUAAGAUGGGAGUGUAGAGAGCGCAGCCUUCGCAUCUAUUCUGCACGUGCAUGGUAGAGCCGUGAGCUGAGACUAGAGCCUCUAUCCCACUCCUGUGCAAUGCUCUAAAGGUGUGCAAGUCUUUAUACCUAUUGCCACUCAGAUCAAGGUAUUAUUCUGCACCACUAAUGUUUGCGAGAACAAUUUCAGGAUGUCAGCUCCUUUCUGUCGAUAGCUUGGAGUCGGGACAGCGCUUCUGCUAUGUGAGUAGACUUGCUGAAGAUGUACAUCUGUGCCUCUCAUAUGAUUUUUGAAUCAGUUUCCAACAGGAGUGUCUAACCUGACAAUUAGUUGCAAAUGGGAAUAAUACACAUUGCCGAGAAUUGGUAUCUGGAUCUGCUUUGAAAUUUUUCAGCAGCCACGAAGGAUCUCUCUGCUUUCAAAGCAGAAACAUGCUCAGUCACAUGCUAAUGACUGGAAAGCAAAAGUUGCCAGAGGUGUCUGGGGAAGGGUCGCAUGGAGCAUGCAGAAGACUGAAUCAGAAUGCUUGUUUUUAAAGGUAAUACUUUUAAAGAAAUUCUUGUUUUCCAAAUGCGAGACAGCCAAAAUAUUCUAGACUAAUAUCUACUAGUGUCUGUGUUGUUCAGAAAAACACUCUAGACCAUCAUUAAAGAAGCUUCACUUGUUCUCUCCAAGCCACCAUCUUGAGCACCAGCUUUUAAUAUUUUCAAUAUUCUGAGGAGUAAAAUGAAACAUAACCAGCCUGGUUAUUCUAUUGUGUGGUUUAUUUGAACUCACCAGGGGUGCGAGGGACCCAAGGUCAUCUGCUAGCUUUCCCUGCUGGCCGGAAGGACACGGACAACCAUUUGAUGUGUGUCAUUUGGGGAGAUGUGGGAAGGAACUGAGGAAACACUUGUGCUUGAGUGAUGUGGCUUACAUCCCCACAGCAGUGCGUGCUGCACGGUUAUCAGAACUGGUCAGAAAUGUUUUCUUUACCUAAAUAUUCUCUCAUCAGGACAUGCCAAUUAUUUGAAUUUGAAAGGCCUGGCAGGAAAGGCUUAGCUUUGCUGAUUGGUCUGUUCAAAAGACACUGACAUUUCAAAAUUGAUAUUUUGAAAUUGCCAAAUGCCUUGUGGAAAGAAAAAGAAAUAAAAGGUUGGUAUUUCAUGGAAACUUUUCAAAAACAUGGAGAGGAAGUACUGUGAACGACUAGUCUGAUUUUUGUGUGCUUUCAGUUUGUUAGUGCUUUCCAGGUGUCAAUAUUUUGUCCUUCGUGGAACACACCUUUUCUUUUAAUUCUUGAGAGUUGUCUAGGACAGCAGUUUUUGCCCAACCCUGGUUUCCAGCUCAUGUUCCAGCAGGACCUCGGACCCCAUCUCACCCUUGGAAGGUCAGAUAGGAGGAGAUGAAGGCACAGCAGGACUGGGGUACAAGGUGUUUUGUGUCAAAGAGAGAAGGAUAUAAGAGCGGGAACAGCACUCAGGUGGGCACUUAGGCUGAGUCUGCACUAAAUAACGUCCCUUUAUGCUCAUCUCAUCUAACGUUUGCCAUUCAAAAGUUAGGUCUCUUGCCAAGCAUCUCAGAUAGUUGUGCAGGCUUCCACUGCACUCCCCAGGGAGAGAUUAUUGCUAGCGGGUGGUUCAGUUCCCGUCCCAAAACACAAGAGUUUUCCGUGUUGUAUAUAAUAGAAUACGUAAGUAACUGUAUUUUCCAAACAUGUUCUCAAAGUCACAGGGAAUGAGGGCUACAGGAAAUAGAGGAAGUCUUUAACUGUGCCAUAUUCCAAGAAAAAGCUGUGGGAAGAGCUUUCUGCAUUAUGGGUCAAAUUCACUCUGCUGACUAGCACUGGGGAUACUAAAAGACUAGCAGCCGUCCCUUCCAGCAUUCAGAUCUGUUGCUGUAGGAAGCUGUGUCCUUGAUGGCAGCAAGCCCUGGAGUCAGCUCGGAGCAGAAGAAACUGGGCUAGAGGAGGAGAGGGAUUCUUGGCUGUUACAGUGUGACACUGACACAUGAGGCUCUAAUUUCAAGGGAGGAACUGGAGCAAAAAGCAUUGCGAAAUCUGGUGCCAUAAUGGUCUGUGAUUCUGCUUACGGUGCUUGGUAUCAUUUUUGUGGUCUCGGAGGAAACGUCAGCUGGUUCUCCUUGGUUCAAAGAAAGAUAGGGAGGUGGGUGGAGCACAGGGUUAAAAUGAGACCAGGGAAAAGCAGGGAUUCUUGAUGCAUCGGUGGGGAGGUGAAGAGCCCUUUCCCUUCAUCCUGACCGGGAGGAAGCAGCAAAGCAUUUCUUUGCACAUCUUUUUUAAAAAACUGUUCUGUGUUUGUGUGUGCAUCCUGAAAACUUUUUGGCUUUUCUUUUUUUUGUUUGCAAUAGGCACGCACACGUGGACGCGACCCAGGUAGCACGUCUCUGAGUUCCUAGCGGACCUCAGUGUUGAGUCGUUUCUUUCCAGGGUAUCCCAAAACUGUCUGAUGAAAUGGCUCACAGGCUGCGGGAGGCUCACAUUGCCACAGUACUGUGCCGCGAGAUCUGCAAGAAUUCAGAGGCUUCUGUAAUUCCCUUUCCCAUUCUCUGAUGUGGAGGGGAAGGUUGUUUUUAUACUAAGGAUUCCAGCAGGAUGAUUUCUGUGGCUGAGAGACACCACAUUGCCUACAGACCCCGCUGCAUUUAACCAGUGGCAAAAUCAAGGGUUGCAGAGUGCACUCUUAAAAAUAUUGGAUCCAGCCUGUGACAGCCAGAGGAAAAACAGGAGCAGACAAUGAGGUCUGUGGUGUCAAGACAGGCAUGUAAAAGAAUGAGCGUCUUCCAUCUCCCGUUGCUUUCGGUGUGACUGAAGCCUUUGGGGAAAGACAGGAGGACGGGUGCUGCCGGGAGAGAGGCUGCACUGCCUGGGCCACAGCUAACACCUACAGUACUGCCCGGAACCUCUAUGAGCAUUUUGCUGAUGUAUAUGUUACUAAUGGUUAUAAAACCCCUGAAUUUUGAAAAGCGACCCUUGGAAAAACUCACUAAUCCACGGCACUCGCUGUACUACAGAACUACGACUUGCUAUUUUCCUUUCAGACAACACAGGAGCUGCACCUGAGUGCCAGCUGGUGUCAUAAAUCCAUGGCAGCUUGGAGGAGGAAAGAUGCGUUUUACAGGCUGGUCUCAUCCUUCGUGUCUUGUUACUGGAUUUUCCAGCGGUUCUGCCUGUUCAAUUGAUAAAACAAUUAGCUGGGAAUAAAACCGCAGGCGCCUUUCCCAGCUCCAGGCAGGCAGAGGCUUCACCCCCUCUCGCAUUACCCAGCUAAGCACUGUGCAUCUGGCCUAAGCAAUCAUUUGGGCUUCUCCUACAGGUAGCGGAUGGAGAAAAACAUCUCCAGAAGGGGAUUCCUUAAGACUGUCCUUAAUAUCCAUUUUCACUGCACGGCCCUGAAGAGGACACGAAUGGCUUCUCUCCUCUAUAAAGCAAAUCUGUACGAGGAGCUUAAACUGACUGUCUUAACUUUUAGGCGGCUGCAGUUAGGCGAGAUGAAUCUUCUGCACCUGGCUUUUGUUCUGCGCCCUGUGACUGAUCGCUCGCCAUGUGUUUUAUUUCAGUUAGGAUAAUUGCAGAUAUUAAUUUAAGUGUCUACCCUCUUUUCAAACUGCUGACUCCCUGCUCCCUCUAACAUUUCACAGCAGUUAGGCAUUGUCGAAAAUAUUUCUUUGACUCAUGUAAGAGUAUUUAAAUUAUAACUGCAGUGGCCUAAAUGUACUUUUCCCUUACUGUAGGAGAAGCUACCUGAUUUUCCUUUGCCUUGCUCAAGCUGUUCUUUAUGUUAUACACCUCUGUUCUGUCACCUUUUACUUCCUUCCUUCUAAUUUGAAGGCUGCUCUACUCCCUUGAAUCUUUCUGCCUCUGGGAGUCUUUUUAGGCUGCUGAACAUUGUAAUUAUCCACUUUGGACCUUCCAAGCUUUACUGCAUGUAUGUCCUGCUGAAAUUCAAGCUGCAGGUAUGGCAAGCAGAGCUCCAGACGAAGGCACGCAGUUAAGCUAUGUAAUGGCAUUCUGUCCACAAUGAUCCUUUUAAUGACUUUUCUUUUUACUACUGCUCUGCAGCAGUCAAAUAUACCUUUUUUCCUAUGUAUUUUGGCAAAGGACUGGGUAUUAAUUUUAAAGGUGCUUGAGUUUCUAAGGUUGAGCGUCCAUAUCUUAUGAAUCUUAUGCUGAACAUAAGCCCCAUAAAGAGCUAGGAAACCCCAAAUCACCUUUUAAAUUCUUGAGCUAUGCACGUUGUUCCUGUGAGGACCUCUUGGCUAAUGCAACCAGGGUGGCCUUGGUUCUCCUGGUAGCAGAGGGUGCAGGUGAGUCCUGCUUUACCCCGUGCCCCCAAUGUGAAGGUGAGGUUUGCACCGUGCUGAGGAGGCCCUGUGUGGUGAGAGGUUUGUCACCCUUUUCUGAAGGGCUCAGAAGAUCCAUCCCUCCUUUUGUGGGACGCAGGAGCAGCUACCAGAAACAGUGCUGGUCUCUUGGGUGGGAAAGAUCCCAAGCUAUGGAGGAACCAGUGUGAUGACAUGACAGGUCCUACCGUGUCCUACACUGCAAAGAAAUUGUGAGGCCACACUGGCUGUGCCACAGCUGCACCUGCAAAAAUAUGUUGUAUUGCACAGGGACUCUUGCAGAAUUAGGCAAAGGUGUAACAAACCACGAUAAAGCACCCAUUAAACAGGCAAUGCUCUGGGAAGGAAGCUACCACUUCUGCUGAAGGACUCUUGUAAUGAUCCACCCAGCUUAUGGUUGCAAUAAAAACAAGCAGAUAAGACACUGGUAUGUCCUACCAGAUAGGUAGAAUACGGAUUUGAAGAAUGAGCGGUGGUAUGGCUGGACACGAAGCACAGCUUGCUAGGACUUCUUAAGUGCUCUGUGUUUGCUUCUUUCGGGUUUGGUCAUGACUGUGGAUGAGACAGCACAGCCGAGAGGAGCCACAAAGAUUUCAAUUCUGACAACAUUCAUUAGGAAGAAAACCCGAAGUGAUGCCGAUCUUACUCAUAUAGAAAUCUCUGACAUUGCACAGUAACUACGUACGAAAUUACAAAGGAUAUGUUGUAAGCAGCAUGAAUAUGAGAAAGUGGUCAUCUAAGAUUAAGAAACUCCCAGAUGUAAGGCCAAAACUAAUCAUGAGGGAUGGUGAAUGCACAGCCAGAUCUAUACCAGGAUUAAAAUUCUCAUCAGUCCAGUUGUAUAGUGAAAGCCAUGAUUCCCCUUGAACGAGUCUGGAAGUGCCGUGCAGCAUUUGAAAGAUCAUGAUCCGUCUUUGUCAGGAGUGGCUUUUAAAUAAGCCAGCUGGUGAUCAAAUGCUGUGACUUGGUAUUUAUUUUGCAAAUCAUACCUGCGGACAUGUUUCCUUAGCAAAGCCACUGAUUGUGACAAAUGUGUAUAACAAGUGCAGUCUUCUAUUGAUUCUCACAUUCUAUUUUCUCGUUUUGGUGGAAACAGAUGGAAUUCAAUUUUCUCACAAUUACUAUUAGCCAAGAAUAACAUCACUUAAAUCAGUGCGGAGGAGGUGGAAAGUUGCAACUAUAAAACCACACAGCCUGAAAAGCUGGAUAUUGAUGCAUUAUGCAGGACCCAAUUCAGAAACACACUUAAGCGUUUUCUGGACUCAAAACAGUAUGUCCCAAUGACAUUAUACAUGUGGUCAGUGGCUUCUGAAAUACGAAUAUUCCAGAUUAUUUUUGUAGGUCAGUCUCAUGGAACGACUGAUGCUUAAACGGUAAAGUCUUAGGACAUUUUCCACUAAAAAUAACAAACCCAGAAUAAGGCUGGAUGUAGCUAAUGCUAAUAUAAAUGAUAUACAGUGGUACAAAAUCAUUGCUUACCUUGCAAAACGUUAAAGAACAUUCUUAAAUUAGAAUAAUAGUUCAAAAUUAGAAAAGAAGUCAAGAGGCACUCAAUUGACUUUGAUUCUUAAAUCAAUCAUUUCCAAUUUUUCAGGCUGUUUGAUAUCAGAAUGCUGUAAAUUUGGAGAGGAUGCAUUACAUAACUAAAAUACGACACACACAAAAAUCCUACACUUUGUGAAAUGUAAGGGUAAAUCCAAGUGCUUAAAGUUAGAAAAUUAAAGAUUUUCUUGAAUCACAGUUUGACACUUUGCUUCUUUUGCAUCAUGCUAGACUCUCAGAUGAUGCCGUCCCAGAUAUUUUACUCUUCUUGUUAAGUGUGGCCUUUAGCUUUGUUUAAUAAUCAAUAUGGGGUUAUUAAUUUAAUCCUGGGCUUCCUUCUGUCCUUUUUAUUGCUACACUGUCUUAACAAUUCCUCCAAAGUACUACAUUUAUGUUCACAAUGGUGUUGUAAAAAGGCAUUAUUAUAUCUAUGUUACAGAUACUGAAUGGAGGCAGACACUUCUGGGUCAAAAAGGCACCAGUGUAAGAUGAUUAUGGUCCUCUAUUUCAGGGCAUUUAGCAUUUUAUAGUGCUUUAUAUGCUUAUAGCGAAGAUCUCUGGAAAUCACAGCCGAAGUCAGGCACCCUAAAAUCCAAGAUGACCAGCCAGCGGUCAUCUGUGGAAGAGACUUUCCCCAUAACACACGUGAACCUCAUGUCUCAGCGCCUCAUAGCUGCCAUUUUUUCAGGGCAGCUCCCAAUAUCUGGCAUAAAAAAGUGCCUGAAAAACUCUAGUUUUGCUCCUGUAUACUGGGAUUGGAGUUACAUUUCCGCAGUUUUUUGGAAGCUGCACUUCUAAACCUUAACACAUUAACUGAAAUGGUGUGAGAUGAAGUUACCGUUUUGGCCAAGUUUGGGCAUGUAUUUAUAACAGCCACAAAAGGCCUGUCCUAGCCUGGAAAUGAUGCUCCUAUUUCAAACCUGGAAGUGUUGGGCCCUCCCAGGGACUAGUUGUAAUAUUUAGUUCUGUUUUUUUUACAUGGCCAAAACAAUAUUUUUCUUCAACACCCUCCGCAGGAGCAGCAGAGGUGCUUUUAAUGGAGGUUUUUUCCCCCAGAUGUCAAGGCAGAAAGCUGUUUUAAAGUUAAUCCACAUAUUUGUGAAUUAUGAAGUGCUAAUCAAGCCGUCUCUGUUGGAAUAGUCACGUCUUGCCCACAGCCUGA